rnacentral:rRNA from 1 species
GAGGGAUCCUGGAGAUAUCGGAAGUGCGAAUGCUGACAUGAGUAACGAUAAUGGGAGUGAAAAACUCCCACGCCGGAAGACCAAGGUUUCCUGUCCCAUGCUAAUCAGGGUAGGGUAAGUCGGCCCCUAAGGCGAGGCAGAAAUGCGUAGUCGAUGGGAACCACGUUAAUAUUCGUGGGCCUGGGAGUGUGUGACGGAUUUCGAAAGUUGUCAUCCCUUAUCGGAUUGGGAUGGCGGCCUGGAAGUCCCUGGAAAUAGCCCUCCCAUAUAGACCGUACCCUAAACCGACACAGGUGGUCAGGUAGAGAAUACUAAGGCGCUUGAGAGAACUCGGGUGAAGGAACUAGGCAAAAU